rnacentral:rRNA from 1 species
AACGAACGCUGGCGGCGUGUUUAAGACAUGCAAGUCGCACGGGAUAAGACAUGUAGUAAUACUUGUUUUAUUUAGUGGCGCACGGGUGAGUAACACGUGAAUUACAUGCCCUAUAGUGGGGAAUAGCCCAGGGAAACUUGGAUUAAUACCCCAUGGUAUCGAAAGAUUAAAGGUGGCCGCAGGGCUGUCGCUAUAGGAUUGGUUCGCGCCCUAUCAGCUUGUUGGUGAGGUAACGGCUCACCAAGGCAAUGACGGGUACCUGGUCUGAGAGGACGAUCGGGCACACUGGAACUGAGACACGGUCCAGACACCUACGGGUGGCAGCAGUCGAGAAUAAUUCACAAUGGGGGCAACCCUGAUGGUGCAACGCCGCGUGGAGGAUGACGGUCUUCGGAUUGUAAACUCCUGUCAUCUGGGAGAAAGACCUGACGGUAAAUAGCCGGCAGGGUUGAUAGUACCAGAAGAGGAAGGGACGGCUAACUUCGUGCCAGCAGCCGCCGCCG